rnacentral:misc_RNA from 1 species
AACGAGGCCGACCUGCGGCUGAGUUACCUGCGGAGGGAUCAUUACAGAGUUCAUGCCCUCACGGGUAGAUCUCCCACCCUUGAAUACUAUACCUUUGUUGCUUUGGCGGGCCGCUUUGGCUACUGGCUCUGGCUAGUAAGUGCCCGCCAAAGAACCCCAAAACUCUGAAUAUUAGUGUCGUCUGAGUACUAUAUAAUAGUUAAAACUUUUAACAAUGGAUCUCAGAUCGGAAGAGCACAC